rnacentral:lncRNA from 1 species
CCAAGUCAAAUGCCUUAAACUUAAUUUUCCCAAUACUUAGUUCUUCAGAUGUGGGAUACUGGGUAGGUUGAUGCUGAACCAAUCUCUAUGAUCAGAAUGAAAAAUACCGUUAAGUAAAAUGAUAUGCUGGAUGUCAAAAAAGAAGAGGCUAUAAAAUCAUCUACGCAUACAUACACACAUUUGUACGAAACUUUCAAAUUUCGACUCAACUAUGCCAAAAGCCGCUUGCUAAUCAAUUAAAUUCCAAAAUUAUAAACUAGCCUAUUAAUCGAAUUAAACAAUUAUGUUUAUCUAAUAAAUUAAAACCUACUUCCAAAAGUGAGAAAUAUGUGGGAGUGUUUGGCUAAAUUUUCAAAAAUUUUGAGUAAAAAAAUGACCGAUUAACUGGAAAACCCUGAGUUCGUAAGUCUCAGCAAGCCAAUAGCAAUAAGAGAUCUCAAACUUUCCUUCCGUUACCUAAUUCGAAAUGUAAAAUCGAAUACAGUAAUCAAUCAACUAAAUUAUACAACCAACAAAGGCGAAAUCAACAAACAAUCGAACCUCAUCUUUCAACAUGUGAAGCAAGGUGGUUUUUCCGGCAUUAUCGAGACCUAAAAACAAGAUCUUGGCCUCUUUCUGCCACAAACCGAGAGAGGCGAGGACGCCAUAGAACCAAUCCAGGAGAAACAUGGCUUCUGUAGUGUAGAUAGUGAUGAGAAUAUCAGAUCCCUGAAUGGAGAGCUCGAAUAUGUGAUUAUCCUUCGAAGUCCGGGCACG